GACAGAGGUGCCGAGCGUUAGGCGGAAUCACUGGGCUUAAAGCGUGUGUAGGCGGACUUCUAAGUACCUUGUGAAAUCCCACGGCUCAACCGUGGAACUGCUUGGUAUACUGGUCGCCUUGAGCCAUCUAGGGGCUGUCGGAACAAAUGGUGGAGCGGUGAAAUGCGUAGAUAUCAUUUGGAACGCCAAAGGUGAAAACAGACAGCUGGGGAUGUGCUGACGCUGAGACACGAAAGCCAGGGGAGCAAACGGG
rnacentral:rRNA from 1 species